UACGUAGGGUGCAAGCGUUAAUCGGAAUUACUGGGCGUAAAGCGUGCGCAGGCGGUUAUUUAAGUCAGUUGGGAGAUCCCCGGGCUCAACCUGGGAACUGCAUCUGUGACUGUAUAGCUAGAGUACGGUAGAGGGGGAUGGAAUUCCGCGUGUAGCAGUGAAAUGCGUAGAUAUGCGGAGGAACACCGAUGGCGAAGGCAAUCCCCUGGACCUGUACUGACGCUCAUGCACGAAAGCGUGGGGAGCAAACAGG
rnacentral:rRNA from 1 species